rnacentral:rRNA from 1 species
AGGACGAACGCUGGCGGCGUGCUUAACACAUGCAAGUCGAACGAGGCUCUACCAGUGGCAACACUGGGAACGGCCUAGUGGCGAACGGGUGAGUAACACGUGAGGAACCUGCCCCGAAGACCGGGAUAACCCUCCGAAAGGAGAGCUAAUACCGGAUGCCCCCACCGAAUCGCAUGGUUUGGUGAGGAAAUGGAUUCCGCUUCGGGAGGGUCUCGCGGCCUAUCAGCUAGUUGGUGAGGUAACGGCCCACCAAGGCAUCGACGGGUAGCUGGUCUGAGAGGACGAUCAGCCACACUGGGACUGAGACACGGCCCAGACUCCUACGGGAGGCAGCAGUGGGGGAAUCUUGCGCAAUGGGCGAAAGCCUGACGCAGCAACGCCGCGUGGGGGAUGAAGGCUCUCGGGUUGUAAACCCCUUUCAGUAGGGACGAAUCAAGACGGUACCUACAGAAGAAGCCCCGGCUAACUACGUGCCAGCAGCCGC